GAGACUAACAGUGACGCAGCUGAAUUGAGCUUGUAGUUGAUCAAAAGUAGGGAACUGGAAAAGGAUGAACUGAGGCCGCUGUAUAUGGACUUUCAGGCCACCACACCCAUGGACCCAAGGGUUUUGGAUGCCAUGCUCCCCUAUCAAGUCAAUUACUACGGGAACCCACAUUCCAGGACUCACGCUUAUGGAUGGGAGAGCGAGAGUGCAAUGGAAAAAGCGAGAAAACAAGUAGCAGAUCUUAUUGGUGCCGACCCGAGGGAGAUUGUGUUCACCAGUGGUGCGACUGAGUCCAACAAUAUGUCAAUCAAAGUAAGAAUGUCAUUACUGUG